UACGAAGGGGGCUAGCGUUGCUCGGAAUCACUGGGCGUAAAGCGCACGUAGGCGGACUCUUAAGUCGGUGGUGAAAUCCUGGAGCUCAACUCCAGAACUGCCUUCGAUACUGGGAGUCUCGAGUCCGGGAGAGGUGAGUGGAACUGCGAGUGUAGAGGUGAAAUUCGUAGAUAUUCGCAAGAACACCAGUGGCGAAGGCGGCUCACUGGCCCGGUACUGACGCUGAGGCGCGAAAGCGUGGGGAGCGAACAGG
rnacentral:rRNA from 1 species